rnacentral:rRNA from 1 species
CCACUUCGGUGGGGAUUAGUGGCGAACGGGUGAGUAACACGUGGGCAAUCUGCCCUGCACUCUGGGACAAGCCCUGGAAACGGGGUCUAAUACCGGAUACUGACCCUCGCGGGCAUCUGCGAGGUUCGAAAGCUCCGGCGGUGCAGGAUGAGCCCGCGGCCUAUCAGCUUGUUGGUGAGGUAAUGGCUCACCAAGGCGACGACGGGUAGCCGGCCUGAGAGGGCGACCGGCCACACUGGGACUGAGACACGGCCCAGACUCCUACGGGAGGCAGCAGUGGGGAAUAUUGCACAAUGGGCGAAAGCCUGAUGCAGCGACGCCGCGUGAGGGAUGACGGCCUUCGGGUUGUAAACCUCUUUCAGCAGGGAAGAAGCGAAAGUGACGGUACCUGCAGAAGAAGCGCCGGCUAACUACGUGCCAGCAGCCGCGGUAAUACGUAGGGCGCAAGCGUUGUCCGGAAUUAUUGGGCGUAAAGAGCUCGUAGGCGGCUUGUCACGUCGGUUGUGAAAGCCCGGGGCUUAACCCCGGGUCUGCAGUCGAUACGGGCAGGCUAGAGUUCGGUAGGGGAGAUCGGAAUUCCUGGUGUAGCGGUGAAAUGCGCAGAUAUCAGGAGGAACACCGGUGGCGAAGGCGGAUCUCUGGGCCGAUACUGACGCUGAGGAGCG